rnacentral:lncRNA from 1 species
UAUGUGUAUUAUUUUACAGAGCAUCUUUUUUUUCUCAAAUUGAAAGGAUAAUUCCAAUGUACUUGUGAUGAACUCUCUUUACAUGUAGAUAGAAGUCUUUGGUUUCUGACACCUCUCUGGGUCAAUCAGUCCCUCUUUACAGAGAACCACCAAGCAAGGAGUGCGAUGCUCCUCCUCCCAGUGUUCUCAUCCAGAAAAAGUCUGAUCUGAUGGAUAUGAAAAAAUUCUCCAACAAAGAAUAUGUUUGAGAAAGAGUUUGUUGCUCUCCCACCUUGUCUCCUAGGUGAAUGAGUCCUUCAGCAAACAUGUCUGAACUCCUAUCUACAUCAUAUUUUUAAGGUAAUUCUGAGUGGUCUUUUCAAAAUUUAAGUUGUGUACCUUCAUGUAUCCCCAUGCUAUUUCCUUUCCAGGCUUGUUUAAUUGAGCUCUCAUGGUUCUUCUAACUUUUCUUAUCUAUUCCCAUCUAACCUUACUUCAACCAGGCUGGAUUAGUCUUUAAGUAACUGUUGCUGUGGACAUAUUUAGGUUUUAUACCGCAACUUCUUCACUUUAUUCUCUUCUGUAUCCUCAUCCUUUCUCCUUCAGGUUGAU